AAAAGCUACACUUUUACGGCAAUAAACAGAAAUAGCCAGGAAAAUAUCAAACUUUUAUUCUUUCUAAUCUUCCCUCCAAGAGUAAACCCUAUGUUUUCCAUUUCCCUCUCUCUUCACUCACUCCUCCCGCCUCCUUGUCAUUCUUUUUGGUUCUCUUCUUUUCUUUCGUCUAAAUCAUCUCAGGAUCCCCUCGCCCAACGAAGAAAUUGGCAAUCAAGAGGGAAGAAAAAGGAUGAACAAUUUGACAUUAUUAGCGAAGCUCGAUUAACCGUUCAUAUAUCGAGACAGACCUUCUACCUUACCACUAUUACCAGCAUCUCCGUCACAGUGGGUUACUUGUCUGGAAUACAACCUGGUACAAGGGAGCCGUUAAUGGUAACGGAAGGUCUAAUUUGGCUCAUGGGUGAGGCCGUAUAAACACAAUAGAAUUCCGCUUGUAGUUUUAUUGGUUGUUUCUCAGUGAAGAAGAGGUAGCAAGGUACAAGAAAUAACUGUUCUUAAUUUUGUUUUCGUUUUUAAUUUUGGUGUUUGUUACUUACUUCCCUAUUAUAAUAAUAGGAGAAUGGUUUAAUUCUGAUUCAUUUGUUUUUUUUACUAUAACUGUGAUGAGAUUUGAUUUUGAUUCAUUUAUAUAUACAAUAUUACUUUUGAGGUUGCUUUAGAAGACAAAUUUAAGAAGCUUAUUCACUGUUUGAUAAAAUGUUACAUAGAGAUAUAUUACAUGGAUAAUAAUAAUUAAUGAGUGUGGUGUUUUACAAACUGUUUUAAAAAAUCUUUGAAAUAUGAAUUAUCAUUUCUGGACAUUCGUAGGUUGAGAAGUUUUAAAUUCAUUGUCCUUGGGUUAGAUUAGAGUCGUUUCACGACUUUUAAAAGUAAAAUCUCAGGGAUAGGAGAAAUAGAGCAUAAGCAGAUGAAUACAGUAGAGUACGUAGAAGAGGUUCUCUUAUGCUUGGUAUGUCACUGCUUUGUUGUUUGGGUCAGAAAGCUCACAAUGGAAAACUUGUAGGAUCUUAUAGUAGAGUCUGAUAUUUUUCUUCUGAUAGUUGUAGCGUAAUUUAUCUUAUUCAAUCAUAAAAUUAGAGGAGCUUAUACCAGAGUAUGAUUUUUUCUUCUGAUAGUUAUAGAGUAUUUUAUCUUAUUCAUUUGUUUAUUUUGGGUAAAAUUGGUGGUAAUCUCUUCAUAAACAAUUGCCAGGGGCUGUAGAGUUUGUUUUCUAGUUUACCUUUCUUUGUUUAGACUAUUUAACUUCUAUUAAAGUUUCUUGUUCUCUAUAUUGGCUUAAUUGCCAAGACAAAUUAUAAUCUUAAUAAUAAUGAUCGUAUGCUUGCAACCUUGUGAUUGAUUUGUUAACAUGCGUAAAUAGACAACCCAUGUUUAGAUUAGUAUUGCCAUCCCUCAAUUUGUGUGUCUCUUGUUUCUCUAAAGCUGGCAAAUGGUAAAUGUAAUAGUGUUUGGACAAGUUUCUUUCAUUUAAGGAAAUAAAAGAUCUAGUAGUUUAUGUUUCUUUUAACUCUCUGUUCCUAGUCGUGAAUUCAUAUGUACGGAAUAUAUAGCUGUUUUGCAAAGUAGUUGUUUGCAUCUUGUCUCUUAUACUCUGUAUGUGUCCUGACUCACACACUUACCCGCUACCUCCCUUUUUUUCUAAUUUUUUUCGAUGCAUAUGAAAAAACUACGACCUUUCUCUGGGGUCUGCCUGAGUGGUUGUUACAUGGACCACGAGCUUUUGCACGCUGAGUCCCUAUGGAGUUCGUGUUAUUGAAGGAUUCGGAUGGGAGCUUCUUGUGUGUGAUCUAAACCAACUAGACUGCUUGAUCUUCCAUUUGGUCAUACAAUAUGAUGUUCAAAUAGCAUGUGGGAUAUUUCAAUACUAUGAAGAGUUGUGGGAAUUGUUUGAGGCUAUGCAUUUAGAAGUUUUUUAUUGCGGGUAUUCGGUAGAAGCAGUAACAAUGACAUUAGCUGCUUAGUUUAAACAUGUAAUAUUAUCUUUUAAUUCAUUGAUACAUUAGUAUUAUGAAUUAGUACUUGGUUUUGUUUGUUGGUAUUCAAUGAAAUAUGUUCUGUUUUAACAUUUU